rnacentral:rRNA from 1 species
AGAGUUUGAUCCUGGCUCAGAUUGAACGUUGGCGGCAGGCCUUAAACAUGCAAGUCGAACGGUAACAGCGGAGCUUGCUCCGGCUGACGAGUGGCGGACGGGUGAGUAACGCGUAGGAAUCUACCCAGUAGCGGGGGAUAGCCCGGGGAAACCCGGAUUAAUACCGCAUACGCCCUACGGGGGAAAGGGGGCCUCUUCAUGAAAGCUCUCACUAUUGGAGGAGCCUGCGUUGGAUUAGCUAGUUGGUGGGGUAAAAGCCUACCAAGGCGACGAUCCAUAGCUGGUCUGAGAGGACGAUCAGCCACACUGGAACUGAGACACGGUCCAGACUCCUACGGGAGGCAGCAGUUAGGAAUAUUGUGCAAUGGGGGAAACCCUGACGCAGCCAUGCCGCGUGUGUGAGGAAGGCCCUAGGGUUGUAAAGCACUUUCAGUAGGGAGGAAUUAGCAAGGCUAAUACUCUUGUGAAAUGACGUUACCUACAGAAGAAGAUCCGGCUAACUCCGUGCCAGCAGCCGCGGUAAUACGGAGGGAUCGAACGUUAAUCGGAAUUACUGGGCGUAAAGCGCGCGUAGGCGGCUUGUUAAGUGGGAUGUGAAAGUCCCGGGCUCAACCUGGGAACUGCAUUCCAAACUGACAGACUUGAGUACGAUAGAGGGGGGUAGAAUUCAGAGUGUAGCGGUGAAAUGCGUAGAUAUUCUGAGGAAUACCGGUGGCGAAGGCGGCCCCCUGGAUUGAUACUGACGCUGAGGUGCGAAAGCGUGGGGAGCAAACAGGAUUGGAUACCCUGGUAGUCCACGCCGUAAACGAUGUCUACUAGCCGUUGGGAGGCUUGACCUUUUAGUGGCGAAGCUAACGCGAUAAGUAGACCGCCUGGGGAGUACGGUCGCAAGAUUAAAACUCAAAGGAAUUGACGG